rnacentral:rRNA from 1 species
GACGAACGCUGGCGGCGUGCCUAAUACAUGCAAGUCGAACGCAGUUGCGAACGGGUGAGUAACGCGUAGGUAACUGCCUGGUAGCGGGGGAUAACUAUUGGAAACGAUAGCUAAUACCGCAUACUACCCGAUGGACCUGCGUUGUAUUAGCUAGUUGGUGGGGUAACGGCGCACCAAGGGAACGAUACAUAGCCGACCUGGGAGGGGGAUCGGCCACACUGGGACUGAGACACGGCCAAGACUCCGACGGGAGGCAGCAGUAGGGAAUCUUCGGCAAUGGACGGAAGUCUGACCGAGCAACGCCGCGGGAGUGAAGAAGGUUUUUGGAUCGGAAAGCUCUGUUGUAAGAGAAGCGGUAUCUUAAGAGAAAGGGACGGCUAACUACGUGCCAGCCGCCGCGGUAAUAC